CCCUUAGAUGAUUUGGGCUGCACGCGCGCUACACUGACCCUAACAAUGAGCAACUGUCUGGCCUGAGAUGGCUGGGUAGCCUUUUCAACCCAUGUCAUGAUUGGGCUAGAUUUCUGUAAGUCUUGAUCUCUAACGAGGAAUCCCUAGUAUGCGUGAAUCAUCAAUCCAUGCAGAUUAUGUCCCUGCCCUUUGUACACACCGCCCGUCGCUCCUACUGAUUGGGUGAUCCGGUGAGCUGUUCGGCCAUAGCAAUGUUUCUUGAGCAGGGCAAUGAAUGUUUCGCAAACCUUGCCACUUAGAGGAAGGAGAAGUCGUAACA
rnacentral:rRNA from 1 species